rnacentral:rRNA from 2 species
GGAUGACGUCAAAUCAUCAUGCCCCUUAUGACCUGGGCUACACACGUGCUACAAUGGAUGGUACAACGAGUUGCGAGACCGCGAGGUCAAGCUAAUCUCUUAAAGCCAUUCUCAGUUCGGACUGUAGGCUGCAACUCGCCUACACGAAGUCGGAAUCGCUAGUAAUCGCGGAUCAGCACGCCGCGGUGAAUACGUUCCCGGGCCUUGUACACACCGCCCGUCACACCAUGAGAGUUUGUAACACCCGAAGCCGGUGGCGUAACCCUUUUAGGGAGCGAGCCGUCUAAGGUGGGACAAAUGAUUAGGGUGAAGUCGUAACAAGGUAGCCGUAGGAGAACCUGCGGCUGGAUCACCUCCUUUCU